CGAACGCUGGCGGCGUGCUUAUCACAUGCACGUCGAACGGAAAGGCCCUGCUUUUGUGGGGUGCUCGAGUGGCGAACGGGUGAGUAACACGUGAGUAACCUGCUCUUGACUUUGGGAUAACUUCAGGAAACUGGGGCUAAUACCGGAUAGGAGCUCCUGCUGCAUGGUGGGGGUUGGAAAGUUUCGGCGGUUGGGGAUGGACUCGCGGCUUAUCAGCUUGUUGGUGGGGUAGUGGCUUACCAAGGCUUUGACGGGUAGCCGGCCUGAGAGGGUGACCGGCCACAUUGGGACUGAGAUACGGCCCAGACUCCUACGGGAGGCAGCAGUGGGGAAUAUUGCACAAUGGGCGGAAGCCUGAUGCAGCAACGCCGCGUGCGGGAUGACGGCCUUCGGGUUGUAAACCGCUUUCGCCUGUGACGAAGCGUGAGUGACGGUAAUGGGUAAAGAAGCACCGGCUAACUACGUG
rnacentral:rRNA from 1 species